GAUAAACGCUAGCGGCAGGCUUAACACAUGCAAGUCGAGGGGCAGCAUAGAUUGUAGCAAUACAAUUAGUGGCGACCGGCGCACGGGUGCGUAACGCGUAUGCAACCUACCCGUCACAGGGGGAUAAUCCGGAGAAAUCUGGUCUAAUACCCCAUAACAUAUGGAUCGGCAUCGGUUCAUGUUGAAAUUUUCGGAGGUGACGGAUGGGCAUGCGUAGCAUUAGCUUGUUGGUGAGGUAACGGCUCACCAAGGCGACGAUGCUUAGGGGGACUGAGAGGUUCUCCCCCCACACUGGUACUGAGACACGGACCAGACUCCUACGGGAGGCAGCAGUGAGGAAUAUUGGUCAAUGGGCGCAAGCCUGAACCAGCCAUGCCGCGUGCAGGAUGACGGCUCUAUGAGUUGUAAACUGCUUUUGUACGAGGGUAAAGUGGGUUACGUGUAACCUUUUGAAAGUAUCGUACGAAUGAGGAUCGGCUAACUCCGUGCCAGCCGCCGCGGUAA
rnacentral:rRNA from 1 species